UCUCCGUAGGUGAACCUGCGGAGGGAUCAUUACAGAGUUCAUGCCCUACCGGGUAGCUCUCCCCCCCUAUGUUAUUAUUACUUUGUUGCUUUUGCGGGCCGUUAUUCUCCGGCCCGACUACCAGCCCCCGCUGUUUAUCGCCCCCCCCAGGCCCCAACACCCUGUAUAUUUGUUUCGUCCGAGUACUAUCUUUUAGUUACAACUUUCUACACCCGCUCUCUUGGUUCUUGCAUCGCUGAAGAACGCAGCAGAUCGGUAGAGCCCACGUCCGAACUCCCC
rnacentral:misc_RNA from 1 species